UGUCAAGUGGGGCUCAGGACCACAUGGCAGUCCUGUUUUCACAGGUGAAGUCUGAGAAGGUAACCUGCAAUGAAAAGCAGAGAUAAGAGGUCAUUCUGCUGGCAUUUGGGUCAGGUGUCUCUGAAACCCUCGUGUACCCCCUGCCUUGCCUGCAGAGCACUUACAGAAUUCAAUGCAUGAAAAUGUGCAAUUUUACCAUGAUAAAAGUGACUCAGGAAUAUCUGUUGAAGAACUUUCAAGAUGUAAAAUCAAAGGUGAACAAGAAGUGAGAAGAUGUAGGGGAGGCUGGAGCUAGUAUAAACCACUACUGAGAUAUUAAUACAUUUGAAUAGCAAACGCUGAUGAUAUGGGACAGACCUGGAAUACCAGUGUGCCCAAUGACUGGCUCUGCCUCCCGAGAUCAUCUGGAGCCUAGCAGGAACCCAGCUAUCAAGAUCACCCCUAGUAAAAUAUCAGAGCCAUAUAUCUGGAACAACUUUCACUUACUUCCCACUUGGUAAACCUUGUGUAAUCCUUCCAGUCAGUGAACUGACCAGCUGCCAACCCUCGGCAGCCAGAAAUACAGCCUCUGAAGUUACAUGGAGACUACAGGAGGGGAAGGGCUGCAUAUUGCCCUGUGUGAGCAAGCUCUUUAUACUUUUCAAAUGAAUGAAGAGUGGUGUGGAAUCACCACCAAAGUAUAGAGUGACUUAAUGAGGCAAGCUCGGUGUCUACCAGAGAUGAACAAGGGAAGUUUAUUGCUUAAGAGAACUAGGAGUGGGCAGUGACAAAGUGGAAACAGGGGAUUUCAAAAAUUAUCACGAAGUAGAACAUGUAGGGAAUACAGGGGAAUAAAAAUUCAGCAGAUAUUUGCUGAGCAUGUCCUAUGUUCCAGGCACCACUGGACCGAAGUACCAGUGAUGGAGACUGAACCAGCCCCCAGCCUGCUACCAGGCCAUGCUUGAGUGCCAUGAAAGGCAACUGGACACCUGAAGCCCGGGGUGGGCACCCCAGACAGCCCAGCCAACUGACAAACCCAGCAUAAUUCACUUGCUAAAAUGGGACAGAUGUGAUGAGCAGGUUUUUUGCUUUUAAAAGACUCACCUCAUUUUUCUUCCUCCAACCUCAUCCUCCACAGCCCAAAUUUUGUGAUGGUUCAGCUCUUUUGGCAGAGAAAACAUUUCUCUUCAGUGCACAACGUCUGGGAGAAGCCAGAGAGGGCACAACGUCUUGGGCCACCAGAGAAGCCUGAGAAGUCUGGUAAGUCCCUCUUCCUGGAGCAGAAGUGGCUCUGCAAAUGAAGACUCGGAAAGAUGAGAGGGUUGAACGAUAAAACCACAAGUAAAAGUUGUUACCUUUCCUUUAACAUCCAACAAGUUUCUGGCUCCCAGAGGGCUUACAGUCUAGCAGCAGGAACAACAGGUAUCAAGAUGUCACACAGAAAGAUCAAGGCAAGUUUUUCCUAACUUGUGUGAACAGGGGAUGUCUCAGGGAGCUGGGGUUCAGAUGAUUUUUAUUGUAAUGUUCAAAAUGGUUGCAAUUAUUUACAUAAUAAGAAAAAAAUAACUUAUGUUUAGUAUAUUUUAAAAGGGAAAACACACAAAAUAAAUGCUUAUUAUAAUUGUGGGGAGAGUUAUGAAAAAGAGAUCCAUGGCACUUUGGAAGAAAUCACAGGGAAGGGGGCCACCAGAGAAGCCCGAGAAGUCUGGUAAGUCCCUCUUCCUGGAGCAGAAGUGGCUCUGCAAAUGAGGACUCGGAAAGAGGAGAGGGUUGAAUGAUAAAACCACAUAUAAAAAGGAAAAGCACAACCAGUACUGUAAAGCAGGGAUUUUUCAUCUGGAGGCUGUGGGUAGAAUUUAGGGGCCCAAUACACAUGAAUGGGGAAAGUUACAUCUUUCUUUUUCUUAACCUAUAAUUGAAAUUUAGCAUUCCAUUCCAUUUCAAAUGCAAACAACAAACUUCUGCCAUGGCAGCAGGACCUGUGACUUUGCCAGUGACAGAAAUCUCUGAUAUUUCAAAUCAUGUUAUGAUUGUUGCAUAUAUUUUGAUACACUUUUAACAUUCAUCAUCUUUCCAAAAUGACAGCAGCUACUAGCCCCA